AAACUUUUCAAACUAGCUAACUAAGAGCGCCGAGUUCAGCUCAGAAUUCAUGGCUUCUACUCCAACAUCCUCGAUAUCCCUGCAAAGCAAUACCCCAAGAUCGUGCUUCCCAUCUUCAUCAUCACCAGCAACAAAAUCAUUUCAGGCUAAUCUUAAAUUUUCAUUUUCACUGCACUCAACUAAAGUUGCACGCAUAAGAUCUUCUAGUACUACAAACUACAAUGAAGUUGUUAUUGAUGAAGAAAUGGAUAGGAUCAGGAGGCUUCAAAAUGGUUCCGACGUUCGUGGGGUAGCACUGGAAGGCGAGAGGGGUAGGACGGUGGAUCUUACUCCUCCGGCGGUGGAAGCCAUCGCUGAGAGUUUUGGUGAGUGGGUUAUCCGGGGCUUGGAAAAGGAACGAGGACGAGUGGUUGAGGAUGUGAGGGUCUCGCUUGGUAGGGACCCACGAGUAUCAGGAGCUUCUUUGAGUGUAGCUGUGUUUGCAGGCCUUGCUCGUGCUGGUUGUAUGGUGUUUGAUAUGGGACUCGCCACCACUCCAGCUUGUUUCAUGAGUACAUUGCUACCUCCAUUUGCCUUUGAUGCAUCCAUAAUGAUGACAGCGUCGCAUUUGCCAUAUACUCGUAAUGGCUUAAAAUUUUUCACUAAGAGAGGAGGGCUAACCUCGCCGGAGGUUGAGGAGAUAUGUGACAAAGCAGCCCGGAAGUUUGCAAAUAGGCUUGCAAAAGUGUCGACAAUGCUCAACACUCCACCGAAGAAAGUUGAUUUCAUGAGCACUUACGCCAAGCAUCUCCGGGACAUCAUCAAGGAGAAAGUGAACCAUCCCUUGCACUAUGACACCCCUCUUGAAGGAUUUCAGAUAAUUGUAAAUGCUGGAAAUGGAUCAGGAGGAUUCUUCACAUGGGAUGUGCUAGACAAGCUUGGAGCAGAUACCUUUGGUUCACUUCACUUAAACCCAGAUGGAAUGUUCCCCAACCACAUUCCUAACCCUGGGGACAAAACAGCCAUGGCACUAACUAGAACUGCUAUGCUAGAAAAUUCAGCUGACCUUGGAAUUGUUUUCGACACAGAUGUAGACCGCAGUGGAGUUGUUGAUAAUAAAGGCAACCCAAUCAACGGUGACAAGCUCAUUGCUCUUAUGUCUGCUAUAGUUUUGAAGGAACAUCCUGGAACUACAAUAGUUACCGAUGCCCGAACAAGCAUGGCACUUUCAAGAUUCAUUACCGAUAGAGGAGGACAGCAUUGCUUAUAUCGUGUUGGUUAUAGAAAUGUGAUUGAUAAAGGUGUCCAGCUUAAUAGGGAUGGCAUUGAAACGCAUCUCAUGAUGGAAACAUCAGGACAUGGCGCUCUUAAAGAAAAUCAUUUCCUUGAUGAUGGGGCUUACAUGGUGGUAAAAAUUAUAAUUGAAAUGGUGCGUAUGAAACUAGCCGGAUCAGAUGCAGGUAUUGGCAGUCUCAUAAGAGAUCUUGAAGAGCCUUUAGAAUCGGUAGAGCUAAGGAUGAAUAUAAUCUCUGAGCCUAGAGACGCCAAAGCAAGAGCCAUUGAGGCAAUUGAAAAAUUUCGAAGCUACAUUGAGGAAGGAAAACUCGAAGGUUGGGAAUUAGACUCCUGUGGAGACUGUUGGGUAAGCGAUGGCUGCCUCGUGGACACAAACGACACUCCAGCUGCUGUGGAUGCUUACAUGUACAGGGCUAAGGUAUCUGAUAAAAAAAAUAGAGAAUACGGUUGGGUACACCUGAGGCAGAGCAUUCACAAUCCAAAUAUCGCUGUAAAUAUGCAGUCAAUGGUCCCUGGAGGAUGCCAUUCCAUGACAAAAGUUCUUAGAGACAGAUUUCUCGAGGCAAGUGGAGUAGACAAAAUCUUAGACAUCUCUCAGAUCGACAAGUAUGCUAGGACUGGACUAGUGAAAUGAGAUGAAGCUUUCAUGAAUAAUUGGAACGGCUUUAAUUACAAUUUAUAGAGAGAAUUUAUACUGCGUACAGUUUCCUAUUGAAAAUCCAUCAACUCUGUAAUAUACAAACUAAUUAUAGCAUACCCUUCAUCUGUAGUUUAUUAUUUUAUAUCAAAUCAAA
rnacentral:misc_RNA from 1 species